rnacentral:rRNA from 1 species
UAAACGAUAAACCACGAAUUAUCUUACUUGUUUUAUUAGUUUGUAUACCGUCAUUUAGAUAACUUUUAAAAAAAAAGUUAUUAUAAUAAUAUAGUUAAGAUGUUAGAUCAAGGUGCAGCAUAUAAAUAAGUUAAAAUGGGUUACAAUAAAAUUUAUUUAUUACGGAGAUAAUUGUGAAAAUAUUUUUUUAAGGUGGACUUUAAAGUAAAAUUGUUUUAAUAUGANAAUUUGAUUUUAGCUCUAAAUUGUGUACAUAUCGCC